rnacentral:rRNA from 1 species
UGGGGAAUAUUGGACAAUGGGCGAAAGCCUGAUCCAGCCAUGCCGCGUGUGUGAAGAAGGUCUUCGGAUUGUAAAGCACUUUAAGUUGGGGGAAGGGCAGUAAGCUAAUACCUUGCUGUUUUGACGUUACCGACAGAAUAAGCACCGGCUAACUCUGUGCCAG